rnacentral:rRNA from 1 species
UACGGAGGAUCCGAGCGUUAUCCGGAUUUAUUGGGUUUAAAGGGUGCGUAGGCGGCUUUUUAAGUCAGGGGUGAAAGACGGUAGCUUAACUAUCGCAGUGCCUUUGAUACUGAAGAGCUUGAAUAUACUUGAGGUAGGCGGAAUGUGACAAGUAGCGGUGAAAUGCAUAGAUAUGACAUAGAACACCUAUUGCGAAGGCAGCUUACUACGCAUAUAUUGACGCUGAGGCACGAAAGUGUGGGGAUCAAACAGG